rnacentral:rRNA from 1 species
ACGAACGCUGGCGGCGUGCUUAACACAUGCAAGUCGAACGGUGAAGCGCCUUCCUUUUUGGUGGGUGUGGAUGAGUGGCGAACGGGUGAGUAACACGUGAGUAACCUGCCCCCUUCUUCUGGAUAACCGCAUGAAAGUGUGGCUAAUACGGGAUAUUCUGGGUCUGUCGCAUGAUGGGUCUGGGAAAGAUAUUGUUUCGGUGGGGGAUGGGCUCGCGGCCUAUCAGCUUGUUGGUGGGGUGAUGGCCUACCAAGGCGGUGACGGGUAGCCGGCCUGAGAGGGUGGACGGUCACACUGGGACUGAGACACGGCCCAGACUCCUACGGGAGGCAGCAGUGGGGAAUAUUGCACAAUGGGCGCAAGCAUGAUGCAGCGACGCCGCGUGAGGGAUGGAGGCCUUCGGGUUGUGAACCUCUUUCGCCAGUGAAGCAGGCCUGCCUCGUUUGUGGGUGGGUUGACGGUAGCUGGAUAAGAAGCGCCGGCUAACUACGUG